GAAUGCGCGUUGGCGUUAACGUCACUAGACAGUGCGCUAAAAACUCAGAAGCUCGGUUAAAGGGCAAAACGCUUGCACAACUCGCGCUCUCUGGACGCAGGCCAGAGCCACUCAGUCUUUGGAUACAUGGCAGUCGCUGCUCGCUCUUUGUGAGGCACGGUUUAAUAGUUCAAGUAGCAAGCAUUUCGUUUGAUGAAUUCUGGUAUAACGGACGACGUCACAACAAAGCGUUUCAUAUCCAUCCCUUCGAGUCCGAUUCUCCAGCCACCUGGCGGAGGGUUGAGAACGUUCAAUCUAAGCGCCGUCCUAUUGUCGCGCAUGCGUGACAAUGCAACUGUCAGUCGUGGUGCUGCUACUGCUGACUUUUCCGUCGUGCUGACGCCGACUGGUGAUCGAGCGACUUUUCACGUUCAACGACUUUAUUAUACCACUUUGUGCGCUAAUGCAACAGUACGGGGAUUUGCUUCUCGCCAAGUGAUAUUUGUUCAAUUAUAAAGAUUAAUUCUUUAAAGUAUAAUUUAUUUGAAUACAUCAUUGUCAGUAAAGAUAUAUUCGAUUGAAUUUGCAUAUAUAGAAACCAGCGAAUGUCAUCGAAUAAACUUCCCCGAUGUUUACCACGAUAUUUUCAAAUGUCCUUGACGUUUUUAUUUAUACGAACAAAGGCAUUAAACUAUUCUCAUCGAACAAACUUGUCUAGUCAGACGCUUGCGCGACUCAGCAUACUUUUUCAUUUUUUUCUAAUACCGUACUCAAUGUUUUUUUUUAUUUUUCUUUAUUUUGCGAUUGGGGAUAAAAAUCAAUACAUCAAUUGUCAAGUUGUU